rnacentral:tRNA from 2 species
GGAGAGGUGGCCGAGUGGUCGAAGGCGCACGCCUGGAACGCGUGUAUACGGGAAACCGUAUCAAGGGUUCGAAUCCCUUUCUCUCCGCCA